CAAGUUAAUUGUAAAUUAUAUUUGUGAUACGCGUUAGCGCAACCCGAAUACAAACGUAUAAAAAAAAUAUUUUUAUACGGGCAUUCAUACUUUCUUUAUUAUUAUUCUAUUUGAUAUACUAUUAAAAAAAAAGGAAUCACUAGUGCGUAUAAUUAAACGGGCAUUCUAUACACCAACCAAAACUUAAAUCCACAUUCAAAGUUAACCAUAUGUCCAAAAUCCUCCAUGAUUUACUUUGUCCUUUUUUUAUGGAUACACUUUGAUCAACUUUCUGAAUUUGACUUGACCACUCAUACUAAACAAAUGGAAAGAGUACAAGCAGCAUGCUUUUACCCUAUCAACCUACAUAUUAUUUAACUUAACCAAAACUAUCUCCUUCCCUUCCAUUUCGUUAAUUUUUAUUUUCCACACCCUCCAUCUGAUUUUCUCUAUCACCUUUUAGAUGGUGAUUUGAUUGGUGAAUGGAAAUUAUACAACACCAUUAUGAUCCACACACACCCUAAGCCUGACCAUCUCAAGAUUGAAACCUCCUUACAAUAUAUGAACAACUACCAAUGACCAUCCCUUUCAUUUUCUCUGUAGACCAUAAAAAAAAAAUAUGGAAUUCACGUUCUCAAAAACAAAACAUAAACUCACAGACCUUUCAUCUUCAACAUCCACUUACCUCUCUCCUUUUCUCACGGAUCCGGCCGCCGGAGACGAAUAACCGGCCGACUGCCGGUGGUUCGGUGGCUUGGUUUUUCAGGCAAGACCCCCCCCCUUGAUGAAUUCUCGAUGACGGGGCGAAGAACAGAAGAGAGAGAGAGAGGAAGAUAGACGAAGCGGCGCCGCCGCUCACGGCGGCGACGGCGGUGGAAGCGACGAUGGUGGUCGGUGGUGUCUCGCCGGCGACGUUAAGCUCCUGAGAUGAUGCAGAUGUUUUCGACAAUGAAGAGAGGAUGUUGACAGUGGUGGUUCGAGUGGCGAUAGCUGUGGUGGACGCCGGAGCUCCGGUCCGACCGUCGACGACAGUAAGCUCAGUUCAGGUUUGUAUUCUGUUGGUUUCAUGGAACAAGUCAACUUUUGGACUCGAGUUACUAUAACAUGAGUUUGGUUCAGCCUGUCGGUUCAACAAAGUGCAGCUUGGCUAAGGGUAGUUUCGGGUCAGAUUAUAGUUUCGGGUCAACACCGGGUCAAACCCGGUCAGAGCUGGUCAAAGACGGUAAACGGGUCAAGUCCCGAGCUUCGGGUCGGCAGUGGUCAAGUCAGUUUUGGUCAGCCGGUUCGGGUCAAGCGGCUUGGUCAGAUGAUUCGGUUCAGUUGACUCGGUCAACUCAGUGAGUGUUUCGACACGAAGAUUUGGAAUAUUGUAGAAUGCACGCUAGCGAGUCACGUCUUGGAAACGGCAUCACGGAGUCGUAUUUAGCUAGCUUUGCACAUGGAAAUCCAGGUUUCAUUUUCAAAAACUAUGGAACGGUUGGAAUAGGAGAACCCACGAGAUUUCGAG